AGUCUGACCUUCCCUCCCGGCGGCAGCAUGCGGGGGUUGCUGGUGUUGAGUGUCCUGUUGGGGGCUGUCUUUGGCAAGGAGGACUUUGUGGGGCAUCAGGUGCUCCGAAUCUCUGUAGCCGAUGAGGCCCAGGUACAGAAGGUGAAGGAGCUGGAGGACCUGGAGCACCUGCAGCAUCCAGGCGGUCAAGAUCUUUCUGGAGUCCCACGACAUCAGCUAUGAGACCAUGAUCGAGGACGUGCAGUCACUGCUGGAGGAGGAGCAGGAGCAGAUGUUCGCCUUCCAGUCCCGGGCGCGCUCCACCGACACCUUUAACUACGCCACCUACCACACCCUAGAGGAGAUCUAUGACUUCCUGGACCUGCUGGUGGCAGAGAACCCGCACCUUGUCAGCAAGAUCCAGAUUGGCAACACCUAUGAAGGGCGUCCCAUUUACGUGCUGAAGUUCAGCACGGGGGGCAGUAAGCGUCCAGCCAUCUGGAUCGACACGGGCAUCCAUUCCCGGGAGUGGGUCACCCAGGCCAGUGGGGUCUGGUUUGCAAAGAAGAUCACUCAAGACUACGGGCAGGAUGCAGCUUUCACCGCCAUUCUCGACACCUUGGACAUCUUCCUGGAGAUCGUCACCAACCCUGAUGGCUUUGCCUUCACGCACAGCACGGUACCGGCCUUCUCCUGUCCUUGGGGGAAGCAGGAUGGGCCUCUGGCUUCUAAGCCGCACAAGUAGUUCACCCCUAAUCUCAAGCCCCAGAAGUCAAGGGAGGGGCAAUCAGACCUGUGCUCCUAGCCGAGGGUGUCUCAACAGUGGCGUGAUUGGCAUUUGGGGUGAAUGAUUCUUUGUCAUGGGGGCUGUCCUGUGCAUCCACGGUGUUUCUAGCAUCCUAACCUUACACCCAUUCAAUGCCAGUAGGAGCCCCCCUCUCCAGUGGUGACAACCAAAAUGUCUUCAGAUAUUGCAAAAUAUCGCAGGGGAGGGUCAAGAUUGUCCCCAGUGGAGGCCCACUGCCCCAGACCUUACUUCCUGGUCCUACUUCUAUUUUUACGGCAAAUAAAACAUCUGACCAAU
rnacentral:sRNA from 1 species